UACAGAGGUCUCAAGCGUUGUUCGGAUUCAUUGGGCGGAAAGAGCUCGUAGGCGGCUUGUCACGUCGACUGUGAAAGCCCGGGGCUCAACCCCGGGUCGGCCGUGCGGACUGGCGGGCUCGAGCACUGUAGGGGCGGGUGGAAUUCCGGGUGUAGCGGUGGAAUGCGCAGAUAUCAGGAGGAACACCGGUGGCGAAGGCGGGUCUCUGGGCAGUAACUGACGCUGAGGAGCGAAAGCGUGGGGAGCGAACAGG
rnacentral:rRNA from 1 species